GCUAGGAUAGCUCAGUCUGUAGAGCAUUAGACUCUUAAUCUCAAGGCUCUGGGUUUGAGCCCCAUGUUGGGCA